UGGGGAAUAUUGCGCAAUGGGCGAAAGCCUGACGCAGCGACGCCGCAUGAGGGAUGAAGGUUUUCGGAUCGUAAACCUCUGUCAGAAGGGAAGAAACCGCACUGUGCUAAUCAGCAGUGCCUUGACGGUACCUUCAAAGGAAGCACCGGCUAACUCCGUGCCAGCAGCCGCGGUAAUACGGAGGGUGCAAGCGUUAAUCGGAAUUACUGGGCGUAAAGCGCACGUAGGCUGCUUUGUAAGUCAGGGGUGAAAUCCCACGGCUCAACCGUGGAACUGCCUUUGAUACUGCUUAGCUUGAAUCCGGGAGAGGGUGGCGGAAUUCCAGGUGUAGGAGUGAAAUCCGUAGAUAUCUGGAGGAACAUCAGUGGCGAAGGCGGCCACCUGGACCGGUAUUGACGCUGAGGUGCGAAAGCGUGGGGAGCAAACAGG
rnacentral:rRNA from 1 species